GACUGAGUGGCUCAGAUGAUAAAGAAUCUGCUUUAAAUGCAGGAGACCCAGGUUCAAUUCCUGGGUCA
rnacentral:tRNA from 1 species